rnacentral:misc_RNA from 1 species
UUUCCGUAGGUGAACCUGCGGAAGGAUCAUUCAUAAUAAGUGUUUUAUGGCACUUUUUUAAAUCCAUAUCCACCUUGUGUGCAAUGUCAGGGUUGAUUUUUCUCUCGAGAGGAUCAACCCCAAACAUCAACUAUAUCUCAACUCUUUGUCUGGAAAAUAUUAUGAAUAAAACAAUUCAAAAUACAACUUUCAACAACGGAUCUCUUGGCUCUC